GUGGGUACAGCCCAGUGGUAGAGCGCAUGCUUAGCAUGCACAAGGUCCUGGGUUCAACCCCAGUACCUCUG
rnacentral:tRNA from 1 species